rnacentral:rRNA from 1 species
CCUACGGGAGGCAGCAGUGAGGAAUAUUGGGCAAUGGACGCAAGUCUGAACCAGCCAUGCCGCGUGCAGGAAGACGGCCCUAUGAUUUGUAAACUGCGUUUGUACGAGGGUAAACGCAGAUACGUGUAUCUGUCUGAAAGUAUCGUACGAAUAAGGAUCGGCUAACUCCGUGCCAGCAGACGCGGUAAUACGGAGGAUUCAAGCGUUAUCCGGAUUUAUUGGGUUUAAAGGGUGCGUAGGCGGUCGGAUAAGUUAGAGGUGAAAUCCCGAGGCUCAACUUCGGAAUGGCCUCUGAUACUGUUCGGCUUGAGAGUAGAUGAGGUAGGCGGAAUGUAAGGUGUAGCGGUGAAAUGCUCAGAGA